rnacentral:rRNA from 1 species
GAUGAACGCUAGCUACAGGCUUAACACAUGCAAGUCGAGGGGAAACGACAUCGAAAGCUUGCUUUUGAUGGGCGUCGACCGGCGCACGGGUGAGUAACGCGUAUCCAACCUGCCCACCACUUGGGGAUAACCUUGCGAAAGUAAGACUAAUACCCAAUGAUAUCUCUAGAAGACAUCUGAAAGAGAUUAAAGAUUUAUCGGUGAUGGAUGGGGAUGCGUCUGAUUAGCUUGUUGGCGGGGUAACGGCCCACCAAGGCAACGAUCAGUAGGGGUCCUGAGAGGAAGGUCCCCCACAUUGGAACUGAGACACGGUCCAAACUCCUACGGGAGGCAGCAGUGAGGAAUAUUGGUCAAUGGACGAGAGUCUGAACCAGCCAAGUAGCGUGCAGGAAGACGGCCCUAUGGGUUGUAAACUGCUUUUAUAAGGGAAUAAAGUGAGUCUCGUGAGACUUUUUGCAUGUACCUUAUGAAUAAGGACCGGCUAAUUCCGUG